rnacentral:rRNA from 1 species
CCUACGGGACGCACCGGUGGGGAAUAUUGGACAAUGGGGGGAACCCUGAUCCAGCCAUGCCGCGUGUGUGAAGAAGGCCUUUUGGUUGUAAAGCACUUUAAGCGAGGAGGAGGCUACCUAGAUUAAUACUUUAGGAUAGUGGACGUUACUCGCAGAAUAAGCACCGGCUAACUCUGUGCCAGCAGCCGCGGUAAUACAGAGGGUGCGAGCGUUAAUCGGAUUUAUUGGGCGUAAAGCGUGCGUAGGCAGCCAAUUAAGUCAAAUGUGAAAUCCCCGAGCCUAACUUGGGAAUUGCAUUCGAUACUGGUUGGCUAGAGUAUGGGAGAGGAUGGUAGAAUUCCAGGUGUAGCGGUGAAAUGCGUAGAGAUCUGGAGGAAUACCGAUGGCGAAGGCAGCCAUCUGGCCUAAUACUGACGCUGAGGUACGAAAGCAUGGGGAGCAAACAGGAUUAGAUACCCUCGUAGUC